rnacentral:lncRNA from 1 species
CUAUACAAAACCUGUAAGUGACUCCUAAUUUGCUGGGGAAAUAUUCCCAUGUGUUCCAUGUUAAUCAUAAUAUAUCUUGGCUUUGCCACUUCAAACAAAUUUAAAUUUGUAAGAUGAAUAUGUAUAUAUAUUGUUUAGAACUAGCACUAAUUAAAACAAUUAAAGAGGUGAUUUGUACUCCAGUAUAAUAAAGAUAUCAUGAAAUAAAAAUGAUUUGUGUUGUUUUGUAUUAUUGUUUUAUCAUUAUGGAAUAUUUUCGUGCUCUUUGUGUACAGUAUUUAUCCUAUGUGUUACCGCUUUUCUAUUUGGCAUCAUGUGUCUACCCCACCUUCUUUCUGCAACAAGUCCGUAGUACACAUGUUGUACACAACCUCUAGUUGAGUCACCCUUAUUUUAAGGGGGGAAGCCGUCGGUGUUAUGGAGUAGGUGGAAAGCUGUCCCAGCUACUAUUGAUCAUACACUCCCCCGAAUAGCCUUGUUAGUGAACCCCAACGUAGGUCAGCCUUUAGGUCAUGCUUAUGUGCAUCAUAUUGAGACCUAACGGGGCCCGCUUGGUCCUUUGUAGGAGACUCACCUCUAAAGCAUCCCUACGUGCUAAAUGUUGCAUCUUUGAGGAUAACGUGGUCAUUUGACUGACUGAUUUGGGAAAAACAUGUGUUAGAAGUAAAGUGUGUGGGUAAUGAAAAAAAAACAAGAAAAAAAAAGAGUUUCGUAGUUUUUAGAGUUUUUUAUGGCUUUUAUUUUUCACAAUUUCAAAAUUCAAAAGGACUUUUUUACCUUUCGCACUCAUUUUCUCAAAAACAUCAAAAAGAUUUUCCUUUGUCUCGUUUAGCA